GCCUCCUCCGAGCUCCUAGGCAGCGGGUCCCAGGAGAGCUCUCAGUGGUGUCAGUUGCGGCUGGGAACGCCCAUUUCGUGGGCUCCUGGAUCCCCCUGGAUUGGUAUCCAGUGAGCGAAGCGGAGGGGUGAGGGCCACAGGUCAUCCAGCGGACCCAACAUGUGGUUACUAAUAGACUUCCCACAGUGCUUCGUUAUUCCAUGUGAACUCCUACAAGGGCAGUGAGCAUCACAACUUCCCUUGAACUUGAUCUGGGUAAGUCUUGGCCUCUAUAAGAAAGUUUCAUGCUUGCUUGU
rnacentral:lncRNA from 1 species